rnacentral:lncRNA from 1 species
UCUAUUUCUGAGAUUGCUCAACAAUAGAGAAGAACUGUUGUAAAGGAAGGAAUGGAAGAAAGGAGAAAAGGACAGAAGCAGGAAGGAGAAAGAGAAAGAAAAAAAUAAAGAAGAAAGUCAGGACUCAUUCUUCCUUUUGGAACAUGUAACAAUCUACAUAUUUGCGAAGAGAAAAGAGGAUUUGUUUCUUUCAUAAAGAGAGAAGACAAUGAGAACAGAAGGGCAGAAAGGAGAAAGAAUGAAAGCAGGGAGAAAAAGAAAGAAAGAAAAGCAGAGGCUCAGAAGGAAGGAGGAGAGAGGAGCACUGGCAUAAAGCUGAUACUUGCCAUAGAAGAACUUGGGUAUGUCUUUUCCCCCCUCCCCACCCUCUUUUUCUUAUUCUUC